AUACGGAGGAGGCAAGCGUUGUUCGGAAUUAUUGGGCUUAAAGAGCGUGUAGGCGGCCAAGUAAGUGUCUUGUGAAAUCCCUAGGCUCAACCUAGGAACUGCUCGGCAUACUGCUUGGCUUGAGGUCGGUAGAGGUGACUGGAACUCUAGGUGGAGCGGUGAAAUGCGUAGAUAUCUAGAGGAACGCCGGAGGCGAAAGCGGGUCACUGGGCCGAUUCUGACGCUGAGACGCGAAAGCGUGGGUAGCAAACAGGAUUAGAUACCCCGGUAGUCC
rnacentral:rRNA from 1 species